rnacentral:rRNA from 1 species
AGAGUUUGAUCCUGGCUCAGGACGAACGCUGGCGGCGUGCUUAACACAUGCAAGUGGAGCGACGAACCAGGGCUUGCCCUGGGGCAGAGCCGCGAACGGGUGAGUAACACGUGGGUAACCCACCCCGAUGACCGGGACAACCCGAGGAAACUCGGGCUAAUACCGGAUGUUCUCGAUUCUCUCAAGGGGAUCGAGCAAAGAUAGCUUCGGCCUUCGCAUCGGGACGGGCCCGCGGCCCAUUAGCUUGUUGGUGGGGUAAAGGCCUACCAAGGCUACGAUGCGUAGCUGGUCUGAGAGGACGAUCAGCCACACUGGGACUGAGACACGGCCCAGACUCCUACGGGAGGCAGCAGUGGGGAAUCUUGCGCAAUGCGCGAAAGCGUGACGCAGCAACGCCGCGUGGGGGAAGAAGGCCUUCGGGUUGUAAACCCCUUUCAGUUGGGACGAAGCUUCCUCGGUGAAUAGCCGUGUGGAGUGACGGUACCUUCACAAGAAGCCCCGGCUAACUACGUGCCAGCAGCGGCGGUAAUUC